AUUUAAACUCAGCCCUGGAGACCUUUCACUUUCUGCUUGUGUUACAGAAGUGUUGGUCUUCAGCUCAGCUGCAGCUAUGCCUCUCUCUGGCUUUGAACACUGCUGAUUUUGGACCCCAGCCUGUGGAUUGACUUUCUGACUCAACCUCAGACUUCCUUCAUCACCACAUUUUUGCUAAUGGACUGGGUGCUUGGCUGCCAUCCCCAAACCUGUCCUGCUUGCUGUGCUUGGUUGCUGCAAGGCUGCACUCUGACAGUGAGGCACCUGCCAUGUCAGCUGCGUUGUGCUUGGCUCCUGGCUCCCCAUCUUUCAGGUAGAAGAAAGAAAUGGCUGAGGAACCUGGAGCAGAAGCAGAAGACACGGAAGGAACAAGCACUCCUAUGGUGGUGUGUCCUCCUCCUGGCACGUAGCCCUGAAUACAGGGAGUCUAUCGCAAAUCUAUAUGAGAUGCCAAAAGGAGGGAAAGGAAAUGCUUCAGCUUCAAGAAAAGCCUCGUUGAAAUAGCUCAUGCCCUUCUAGCUCUGGGAUAAGGCAACCACAAAACAGAAAGCGACAGACUUUCUUGGUUCCACAGUUAUCAAAAUUACUUGUUCUCAAAAUGAUGAUUCAUCAAAAACUUCUUACAUUUUUGGACACGCCAGAUUGGAUGAUCGCUGUGGAUUCAUCAUCUCCCCAGUUUGCUCGGAGGUACAGAUUAAAAUAUAUGUGUGUGUGUGUGUGUGUAUAUAUAUAUAUCUCUUCUCUAUUCCUCUAAGCAGUAGUUCUGCUUGUAAUAAUGAGAACUGGGUGAUGACUUCACCAGUGAAAACCAGACAAAGCUCCAGACAAGGUGAAAACUCCAGGCGUCAAUGCAUCUUCAAAUCUAGGUAAAUGAAGGAGGAGGAAGAAUGUUCCUGCCCAGACACAGGAAGCAAGGACAUGUGAACUGUGAUGAAAGGAGGGGGAGUUUCUGCUUACUCAACGUAGCUGGGACGUUUUGGAGCUGGGUAUAUUGUGGUUUGAUACCAGGAUAGCUCACUUGGCAAUGGGUAAUGUAGUUCCAGGGAAGCACUGAGAGUUGAUGGAAGCAGUUCAAGCAUCUUUCUGAUCAACACAAAAUGAAAGCUAAAAUAAUAUCCCAAAUAGUUAUGGUAUUUGCUUAGCAGAUUCUUGCACUGAUUUCCUCAACAAACGCUGAAUUAGACAAGGCAAGAAUGAUCUCAUAAUUCUGUAAUGAAACAGAAAAGAGGGCAUGAUUACCAUCAUAAGAAACCAGGAAGGCAGACAGCUGAUACUGAAAUGUGGGGGAGUGCUGAGUCACUGCAUUAAGCGCUGCCAUAGUAACAAUUUACCAGCUGGUUGGGGAUGAAAAGAGAUUGAAAAACCCACGAUAAAAUUUGGGCAAGUUGCAGCUUGAAAAUAUAGUACAAGCUUUUUAAAAGAAUUAAUAAAAUGGAACACUUU
ensembl:lncRNA